CUACGGGUCGCUGCAGUAGGGAAUUUUCGGCAAUGGGGGAAACCCUGACCGAGCAAUGCCGCGUGAAUGAAGAAGGCCUUCGGGUUGUAAAGUUCUGUUAAUGGGAAAGAAUGGUUGGUGUAGGAAAUGACACUAAUUUGACGGUACCCGUUUAGAAAGCCCCGGCUAACUACGUGCCAGCAGCCGCGGUAAUACGUAGGGGGCGAGCGUUAUCCGGAAUUAUUGGGCGUAAAGAGUGCGUAGGCGGUUUAUUAAGUCAGUCGUAAAAGAUCUCAGCCUAACUGAGUAGGGCGAUUGAAACUGGUAGACUUGAGUAUGGUAGAGGUAAGUGGAAUUCCAUGUGUAGCGGUGGAAUGCGUAGAUAUAUGGAGGAACACCAAUGGCGAAGGCAGCUUACUGGGCCAGAACUGACGCUGAGGCACGAAAGCGUGGGGAGCAAACAGGAUUAGAUACCCGGGUAGUC
rnacentral:rRNA from 1 species